ACAACCUGGCAAAUAUGGCAAAAGGUCAUUGAUGCAAACGGAGAAUAUUUCGCUGAUUAAUAUUUUUUCGUUUGUUUUUAAAUAAAGAUUGAAUUUUACAAAAAAAAGCUCAGAACUUU